GCAGUAUUUUGACUGUACAAAGGUAGCAUAAUCAAUAGUCUCUUAAUUGGUGACUUGUAUGAAAGAUUGGAUGAGAUAUAAACUGUCUCUAAUUGAUUUAUAAAAAUUAAUUUUUUAGUAAAAAAGCUAAAAUAAUUUUAAAAGACGAGAAGACCCUAUAGAGUUUAAUAUUUUAUUUAGUAAUUAUUAAUAUAUGUAAUUUUAAAAAUUAAAAUUAAAUGAAAUAUUUUGUUGGGGUGAUAAAAAAAUUAAAUUAACUUUUUUUGAUUGUAAACAUUAAUUUAUGAUUAAAUGAUCCAUUUAUAGUGAUUAAAAGAAAAAAUUACCUUAGGGAUAACAGCGUAAUUUUUUUUUUUAGUUCAAAUAGGAAAAAAAGUUUGCGACCUCGAUGUUGGAUUAA
rnacentral:rRNA from 1 species